GAUGAACGCUGGCGGCGUGCCUAAUACAUGCAAGUCGAGCGAACAGAUGAGGAGCUUGCUCCUCUGACGUUAGCGGCGGACGGGUGAGUAACAUGUGGAUAACCUACCUAUAAGACUGGGAUAACUUCGGGAAACCGGAGCUAAUACCGGAUAAUAUAUUGAACCGCAUGGUUCAAUAGUGAAAGACGGUUUUGCUGUCACUUUUAGAUGGAUCCGCGCCGCAUUAGCUAGUUGGUAAGGUAACGGCUUACCAAGGCAACGAUGCGUAGCCGACCUGAGAGGGUGAUCGGCCACACUGGAACUGAGACACGGUCCAGACUCCUACGGGAGGCAGCAGUAGGGAAUAUUCCGCAAUGGGCGAAAGCCUGACGGAGCAACGCCGCGUGAGUGAUGAAGGUCUUCGGAUCGUAAAGCUCUGUUAUUAGGGAAGAACAAAUGUGUAAGUAACUAUGCACGUAUUGACGGUACCUAAUCAAAAAGCCACGGCUAACUACGUG
rnacentral:rRNA from 1 species